rnacentral:rRNA from 1 species
UACGAAGGGGGCUAGCGUUGCUCGGAAUUACUGGGCGUAAAGCGCACGUAGGCGGUCUUUUAAGUCGGGGGUGAAAUCCUGGAGCUCAACUCCAGAACUGCCUUCGAUACUGGAAGACUUGAGUCCGGGAGAGGUGAGUGGAACUGCGAGUGUAGAGGUGAAAUUCGUAGAUAUUCGCAAGAACACCAGUGGCGAAAGCGGCUCACUGGCCCGGUACUGACGCUGAGGUGCGAAAGCGUGGGGAGCAAACAGG